GACGAACGCUGGCGGCGUGCUUAACACAUGCAAGUCGAACGGGAAGGCCCUGCUUUUGUGGGGUUCCCGAGUGGCGAACGGGUGAGUAACACGUGAGUAACCUGCCCUUGACUUUGGGAUAACUUCAGGAAACUGGGGCUAAUACCGGAUAGGAGCUCCUGCUGCAUGGUGGGGGUUGGAAAGUUGCGGCGGUUGGGGAUGGACGGGCGGCUUAUCAGCUUGUUGGUUGGGUAGUGGCUGACCAAGGCUUUGACGGGUCGGCCGCCUGGGAGGGUGGCCGGCCACAUGGGUACUGAGGGACGGACCAGACUCGUACGGGAGGCAGCAGGGGGGAAUAUGGCACAAUGGGCGGGAGCCUGAUGCAGAAACGCCGCGUGUGGGAUGACGGCUUGCGGGGUGUGAACCGCUUUCGCCUGUGACGAAGCGUGAGUGACGGUAAUGGGUGAAGAAGCACCGGCUAACUACGUG
rnacentral:rRNA from 1 species